rnacentral:ncRNA from 2 species
CAUCGCUUGACGGAGCGCGAGUAAUAACUCGCUGAGAUCACCUAAAACAUUGUUUUGAUGGUGAGUACCGUUGAACCUGAUCAGGUUAAUACCUGCGUAGGAAUCAAGCCAUCUAAAAAC